GUGAGACUGCCACGUGUCUAUUAUAGUGUGAAUGCAUUUAUUACAAUGCUUUUCUUUUAAUAUAUAAGACCAUGAUUAUUGCAGGUCUUAAGUGGGGGGUUUUAAACAAAAUUUGUGAUUUAAUUAAAUCAAAAGAAAAGAAAAGGAGAAUUACUGAUCCUUAAUGGGGUGUUUUGGAAACCGAUUUUUAGGGAAGUUUUAUAACCACGUGUCAGCAUCUCGUUUUUUGGUUUUUUUUUUCUUUUUCUUUUCUCUCUUCCUUUCCUUUUCUCACCGUUUCUCGACUUCUUGUGUUCUCCAGAGGAGAAGAAUCUAAACUGACGAAGGACGAGGACUGAUGGCGUCUCCUCCGACUUGUCUACGUCGUCAGAAGAAGGAUCGAAAUCCACUACCAAUCGAUGAAUCUCUCGGAACUGAUGGUGUCUCCUCUGACUUGUCUCGUCUUCCACCUCAAAAGAAUGAUCGAAACCCAUCACAAUCGACGACUCUCUCGGUCAUCACGGCGUCUUGUCUGUUGGUUCUCGUCUUCUCCGACGUACGACGACUCUAUCAGUCCUCACGGCGUCUCCUCCUCCGGCGGGCGAUGUCUUCAGUUUGGAGAUCAGCUUCUGGACCUAUCAAAGCAUAUGCUUCUCCGACAGCUCGACUCCAAUGGUGCAUGAUUCCACCGCUAUUGUGAAUAGAAAUAAUGGUUGAGAAGAGAGCUCUCUUUCUUCAAGCGCUGACAUGGAGAAAAACAUAAAUGAUCUGAAAGGGAAAGAUCUGCUUAAACGGCUUCACGAAGUUGGCACACUUGCUCAGAUUUCAAGUAUCCAAGGAGAUCAAGUUAUCCUCGUUGGUCAUAGACGGCUUCGCAUAACGGAGAUGGUGAGUGAAGAGCCACUUACAGUCAAAGUCGAUCAUCUUAAGGAUAAGCCGUUUGACAUGGACGAUGAUGUCAUCAAGGCAACAUCCUUUGAAGUUAUUUCAACGCUUAGGGAUGUACUGAAGACAAGCUCACUGUGGAGAGACCACGUCCAAACAUAUACCUAGGUAUUUUAUUUUCUCUUCAUGAUAAAAAAAAAGUCUCAGGAUACAAGUAUCUUAGUAGAUGUCUUUCAAACUUGUGUAGCAUAUAGGUGAAUUCACUUAGCUUUCUUCUAAGAAUGGUAUUGACAUUGGCAUUGAGACGAUUAAGACCACCAUUAACCCUAGCACCCCAAAUGGGGUGCUUAAUUUUUUUUUUUUUUUUGGUUUUUCUUCUGAUUUAAAAAAAAAAAAAAAUUAAAACGAACCAAUCGCGGCCCGCCACAUAUCAGUGGGACCCGCGAAACAGUGCUAGCACUGGUGCUUAAUUAAGCAGAAUAAGUGCUUAGUUUUUGUGUGGGUCCCACCCGCUAUUAUAUUAAUUUUUUGCUAAGCACCCCCCUCUAAGCACCCCCCAUUAAUCAUGCUCUAAGUAAGGUUUUCUUGUUUAUGUUUCUUAUUCUUGAGUAAGUGAUCUUCUUCAAUUCUUCUAAAAAUUUUAAAUUUUUUUUUAAGAACUUUUAAUUAAAAAACUCUCAUUGGACCACUCAAAAUGAGAGUUUCUUAACUAGAGUUCUUAAGUCCACUUAAGUACAUUUAUGUAAUUAAAUAAUCAUUAAGAAACUCAAGUGGGUUUCAUGGGAUAAUCAUGCUCUAAGGGAUUAGCUUCACUAUUUAAGCUUUUAACUUUUAGACUUUUGGCCAUUGUUAUGUGAAAACAUAUUGAUCAAUAUGAUGAAACUGAUCUAGAUUAUUAUAAAAUAAAAUUUAAUUGAAAAUACAAUUUUUUUAGAAAAAUUGCUUGAAAUACUAUAACAUACUAAUUUCUAAUACUAUAUUUAUGAAGAAUAUUUAAAAUUUGGGUUUAGAGUUUAGUGAUUAUUGUUUAAGAGAUAUGGUUGAGUUUAUAAAUUUUAUAAACAAUUUUAAAAUAUUUAUAAGAAAAAUUAAAGGGUUAAUUUAUUUUUUUCAUCAUAAAUUAAGAUAUUUAUGAAAUAAUUAUUAUUUAAAAUUAUAUUUAUAUGUAAUAUAAAUUAUGGUAGAAAUAGAAUUCUCUUCACUUUUAUGAGGCCCACAAGUGUAAGUUUUGAUUUAGGCCUCCAAAAUAUUUGGGCCAGCCCUCUCGCAAUGUGUUCUAUGAAUAUAGAAAAGGCAAAUACUUUGUGACGUUAAUCAUUUUUAAGCCAAACUAUAUAAUCCCAAUAACAAGGUAACCAAAGGUGAGAACAAAGGCAAAACACAAUUAUUUUAGUAAAAACAUUAAAAUAUAGUUGACCGACAAUCUUAUUAUGGAUCGUUGCUAAAAAUGUCAAUCAUUCGACACAGCAGUAGUAUAACUCUACAAAAUUAAAUAAAAAAGCUUUGUGGUUGGGAAGUGAAGUUGUUAGUUGAAUAAGUCUAUUCUGUCCAGAAAAGAAAAGUCUACAUUUUUACCAAAAAAAAAAAAAGUCUACAAAGAUUAGUAUCCGCAUGCAAAUAUGGGAGGUAUACCAAUUUGUUCCACGUAUCCGCCGUUGUCAUACAAUUUUCUGUUUGGUCAAAAAAAAGUAGGAGAUGUAUGUAUACUAUCUUUAGAGAAACCACAGUUCAUACGUCUUCGUUGUCUAUAUUUUGCCUGCAUAAUAAGAUUAUCUCUCUGUCAAUUUAAUUCCUCCCUAUCAGAACCUGAUUUUACUUGUGAUGUUUCUGUGAGUAUUAUUAUUCCUCGGAUGUCUCUUUGAUUUUAAUUCAUAUUUAGUAUAGAAGUGUUGAACUAAAUAAUAUAGAAUGCAAAUAUGGUAUUAUAUAUAUACCACUAUUCUAGCAUUGAUUUUACAUGAUAGUGCAUGGUUUUAAAUAGAAACUCGAACGAAAAAUGUGAAAUAGCUCGUUUAGUAAUUCAUUUUUCCGCCAUAAGAAUUUAAACCUCAGUUAUUCAUGGGUGGUCAAUCAUUUAUUUUUGACAAUAUUUAUAAGGAAAAACGAUCAAUAAGACAUUGAAAAGGACAUGUGAUUCAAUAAUUCAGUAAAUCGCUUAAAAUAUUUAUUUUUUUUUUGCUAACCGAGUAUCCUGGCCCCACCGAGGUGGUCCAGACUAGAGACCGAAGUGAGCAUGGACGUUGCCAGGGCGUCACCAUGUGGCUCUGAUAUCUUGCAUAUUUACAUUGUUUUAUCCAUUCACCCAUGUGCAUUUUGAUCAUAUAGACUAGGAUUUAGCCAUGUUUAGGUUGCAUUUUGCAUACAUGAGUCUUUAUCAGGUAUUGGAGUACCACAUGGAUUCUUGGAGGCAUUUGGGUGCAUUUGGAGCUCAAAAGAAGUGUUUAAAGCGAUCAACGGACGAGCAGCGCACCAGAGCGACAUCACCGGAGCGACGCCGUGAAGUCGCUGUGACACAUAUCCCGUAGCGAUCCAGCUAGAGCGACAUGGAGAGGUCGCUCGCGUUUCUAUCGUGAGACACCCUUCUCAGAGCGACUUGCCAGAGCGACGCUCCGAGGUCGCUCGCUUUUCCAUGGCGAGACGAUACAAAACGAAGCCCGGAGAGACCUCUCAGAGCGACCCACUGAGGUCGCUCCCGAAGUCCGGAGCGACUUGGUGGAGCGACACACCAAGGUCGCUCGCGUCCUCUCGUCCGGAGACACCAAAGUCGAGCAUCCUGGAGC